CAGCACCUCAAGUGGUCAGGAUGAUUAUUGGGCCUAAAGCAUCCGUAGCCUGCUUUGUUAGUUUUCGGUUAAAUCCAUACGCUCAACGUAUGGGCUGCCGGGAAUACUGCAAAGCUAGGGAGUGGGAGAGGUAGACGGUACUCGGUAGGAAGGGGUAAAAUCCUUUGAUCUAUUGAUGACCACCUGUGGCGAAGGCGGUCUACCAGAACACGUCCGACGGUGAGGGAUGAAAGCUGGGGGAGCAAACCGGAUUAGAUACCCGGGUAGUCC
rnacentral:rRNA from 1 species